GACGAACGCUGGCGGCGUGCUUAACACAUGCAAGUCGAACGGAAAGGCCCUGCUUUUGUGGGGUGCUCGAGUGGCGAACGGGUGAGUAACACGUGAGUAACCUGCCCUUGACUUUGGUAUAACUUCAGGAAACUGGGGCUAAUACCGGAUAGGAGCUCCUGCUGCAUGGUGGGGGUUGGAAAGUUUCGGCGGUUGGGGAUGGACUCGCGGCUUAUCAGCUUGUUGGUGGGGUAGUGGCUUACCAAGGCUUUGACGGGUAGCCGGCCUGAGAGGGUGACCGGCCACAUUGGGACUGAGAUACGGCCCAGACUCCUACGGGAGGAAGCAGUGGGGAAUAUUGCACAAUGGGCGGAAGCCUGAUGCAGAAACGCCGCGUGCGGGAUGACGGCCUUCGGGUUGUAAACCGCUUUCGCCUGUGACGAAGCGUGAGUGACGGUAAUGGGUAAAGAAGCACCGGCUAACUACGUG
rnacentral:rRNA from 1 species